GAUGAACGCUAGCUACAUGCUUAACACAUGCAAGUUGAGGGGAAACGACAUCGAAGUCUUGCUUUUGAUGUGCGUCGACCGGCGCACGGGUGAGUAACGCGUAUCCAACCUGCCCAUCACUUGGGAAUAACCUUGCGAAAGUAAGACUAAUACCCAAUGACAUCCCCCGAAGACAUCUGAAUGGGAUUAAAGAUUUAUCGGUGAUGGAUGGGGAUGCGUCUGAUUAGCUUGUUGGCGGGGUAACGGCACACCAAGGCAACGAUCAGUAGGGGAUCUGAGAGGCAGCUACACUGGAUUGGAACUGAGACACAGUCCACAAUCGUACGGGAGGCAGCAGUGAGGAACACAAGGCAAGGGGGGAGAGCCUGGAACAGCCAAGUAGCGUGCAGGAGGACGGCCAUAUGGGUAGUAAACUGCUUUUGAAAGGGAAUAAAGUGGGUAUCGUGAGACUUUUUGCAUGUACCUUAUGAAUAAGGACCGGCUAAUUACGUG
rnacentral:rRNA from 1 species